rnacentral:rRNA from 1 species
CACUAACGCUGGCGGCAUGCCUAACACAUGCAAGUCGAACGAGACCUUCGGGUCUAGUGGCGCACGGGUGCGUAACGCGUGGGAACCUGCCCUUAGGUUCGGAAUAACUCCCCGAAAGGGGUGCUAAUACCGGAUAAUGUCUUCGGACCAAAGAUUUAUCGCCUUUGGAUGGGCCCGCGUUGGAUUAGCUAGUUGGUAGGGUAAAAGCCUACCAAGGCGACGAUCCAUAGCUGGUCUGAGAGGAUGAUCAGCCACACUGGGACUGAGACACGGCCCAGACUCCUACGGGAGGCAGCAGUGGGGAAUAUUGGACAAUGGGCGAAAGCCUGAUCCAGCAAUGCCGCGUGAGUGAUGAAGGCCUUAGGGUUGUAAAGCUCUUUUACCCGGGAUGAUAAUGACAGUACCGGGAGAAUAAGCUCCGGCUAACUCCGUG